rnacentral:tRNA from 1 species
CAGAUAGUAGUUUAACUUAAAACUCUGGCUUUGGGUGCCAAAAACCGCCACUCUGCGCCAUCUGAC